rnacentral:rRNA from 1 species
GACGAACGCUGGCGGCGUGCUUAACACAUGCAAGUCGAACGAUGAAGGAGAGCUUGCUCUCCGGAUUAGUGGCGAACGGGUGAGUAACACGUGACUAACCUGCCCCUUUCUCUGGGAUAACGCUCCGAAAGGAGUGCUAAUACCGGAUACGAACUCUGAACACAUGUUCGGAGUUGGAAAGUUUUUCGGAAAGGGAUGGAGUCGCGGCCUAUCGGCUUGUUGGUGAGGUAAUGGCUCACCAAGGCGACGACGGGUAGCCGGCCUGAGAGGGCGACCGGCCACACUGGGACUGAGACACGGCCCAGACUCCUACGGGAGGCAGCAGUGGGGAAUAUUGCACAAUGGGCGCAAGCCUGAUGCAGCAACGCCGCGUGAGGGAUGACGGCCUUCGGGUUGUAAACCUCUUUUAGUAGGGAAGAAGCGAAAGUGACGGUACCUGCAGAAAAAGCACCGGCUAACUACGUGCCAGCCGCCGCCGUAA